rnacentral:rRNA from 1 species
UACGGGGGGAGCAAGCGUUGUUCGGAUUUACUGGGCGUAAAGGGCGCGUAGGCGGUCAGCACAAGUCAAUUGUGAAAUCUCCGAGCUUAACUCGAAAAGGUCAACUGAAACUGUGCGACUAGAGUGCGGAAGGGGCAACUGGAAUUCUUGGUGUAGCGGUGAAAUGCGUAGAUAUCAAGAGGAACACCUGCGGCGAAGGCGGGUUGCUGGGCCGACACUGACGCUGAAGCGCGAAAGCCAGGGGAGCGAACGGG